GACGAACGCUGGCGGCGUGCUUAACACAUGCAAGUCGAACGGAAAGGCCCUGCUUUUGUGGGGUGCUCGAGUGGCGAACGGGUGAGUAAGACGGGAGUAACCUGCGCUUUACUUUGGGAUAACGUCAGGAAACUGGGGCAAAUGGCGGAAAGGAGCGCCUGCUGCAUGGUGGGGGUUGGAAAGUUUCGGCGGUUGGGGAUGGACUCGGGGCUUAUCAGCUUGUUGGUGGGGUAGUGGCUUACCAAGGCUUUGACGGGUAGCCGGCCGGAGAGGGUGACCGGCCAUAUUGCGAAUGAGCUUCGGCCCGGCCUCCUACGGGAGGCAGCAGUGGGGAAUAUUGCACUAUGGGCGGGAGCCUGAUGCAGCAACGCCGCGUGCCGGAUGGCGGCCUUCGUGUUGUCACCCGCUUUCGCCUGUGACGAAGCGUGAGUGACGGUAAUGGGUAAAGAAGCACCGGCUAACUACGUG
rnacentral:rRNA from 1 species